rnacentral:rRNA from 1 species
UACGUAGGGACCGAGCGUUGUCCGGAAUCAUUGGGCGUAAAGAGCGUGUAGGCGGCCACUUAAGUCCUGCGUGAAAUCUUGCGGCUCAACCGCAAGCGGUCGUGGGAAACUGGGUGGCUAGAGUGCGGGAGAGGAGAGUGGAAUUCCUGGUGUAGCGGUGGAGUGCGCAGAUAUCAGGAGGAACACCAAUGGCGAAGGCAGCGCCCUAGACGAGACCUGACGCUCAGGCACGAAAGCGCGGGGAGCGAACAGG